GCGUUGGAUCAAACUUGGCACGCCAGUUUCCUGUAAGCGUUAUCUCUACUGACGAUUGAAAUCGUGUCGGCUCGCUGAUGCCAAAUAGCGUUUCUUUGUGUCAGGUGGGGCGCAGGUUCGAAUCCUGCAGGGCGCG
rnacentral:tRNA from 1 species